rnacentral:rRNA from 1 species
AGCGAACGUUAGCGGCGGGCUUAACACAUGCAAGUCGUACGAGAAAGCGUCCUCGGGCGGCAAGUAAAGUAGGCGCACGGGUGAGUAGUACGUGGGUAACCGUACCCUCCAGGCGCGGGAGUAACAGUCCGAAAGGAUUGCUAAUACCGCAUACGUUGGUGACGGCUGUGGCUGUUACCAGGAAAGGAUGGCCUCUGCUUGCAAGCUAUCGCCGGAGGAUGGGCCCGCGCCCCAUCAGCUUGUUGGUGAGGUAACGGCUCACCAAGGCUAAGACGGGUAGCUGGUCUGAGAGGAUGAUCAGCCACACUGGGACUGAGACACGGCCCAGACUCCUACGGGUGGCAG